rnacentral:rRNA from 1 species
UUUAAGCUUCCUACGGGAGGCUGCAGUGGGGAAUCUUGCGCAAUGGGCGAAAGCCUGACGCAGCCAUGCCGCGUGAAUGAUGAAGGUCUUAGGAUUGUAAAAUUCUUUCACCGGGGACGAUAAUGACGGUACCCGGAGAAGAAGCCCCGGCUAACUUCGUGCCAGCAGCCGCGGUAAUACGAAGGGGGCUAGCGUUGCUCGGAAUUACUGGGCGUAAAGGGAGCGUAGGCGGACAUUUAAGUCAGGGGUGAAAUCCCGGGGCUCAACCUCGGAAUUGCCUUUGAUACUGGGUGUCUUGAGUAUGAGAGAGGUGUGUGGAACUCCGAGUGUAGAGGUGAAAUUCGUAGAUAUUCGGAAGAACACCAGUGGCGAAGGCGACACACUGGCUCAUUACUGACGCUGAGGCUCGAAAGCGUGGGGAGCAAACAGGAUUAGAUACCCUUGUAGUCGAAUUCUUAUC